GCCGGAAUAGCUUAGGUGGAAAAGCACCGCACUCGUAACGCGGAGAUCUGGUUUCGAUUACCAGUUCUGGCUCCA
rnacentral:tRNA from 1 species